GGGCCAUGACGGCAGCAUAACAUGCAGUCGAACGGCAGCACGGGAGCAAUCCUGGUGGCGAGUGGCGAACGGGUGAGUAAUACAUCGGAACGUGUCCUGUAGUGGGGGAUAGCCCGGCGAAAGCCGGAUUAAUACCGCAUACGCUCUACGGAGGAAAGGGGGGGAUCUUCGGACCUCCCGCUACAGGGGCGGCCGAUGGCAAAUUAGCUAGUUGGUGGGGUAAAGGCCUACCAAGGCGACAAUCUGUAGCUGGUCUGAAAGGACAACCAGCCACACUGGGACUGAAACACGGCCCAAACUCCUACGGGAGGCAGCAGUGGGGAAUUUUGGACAAUGGGCGCAAGCCUGAUCCAGCAAUGCCGCGUGUGUGAAGAAGGCCUUCGGGUUGUAAAGCACUUUUGUCCGGAAAGAAAACCUCUGGGUUAAUACCCCGGGGGGAUGACGGUACCGGAAGAAUAAGCACCGGCUAACUACGUGCCAGCAGCCGCGGUAAUACGUAGGGUGCAAGCGUUAAUCGGAAUUACUGGGCGUAAAGCGUGCGCAGGCGGUCCGCUAAGACAGAUGUGAAAUCCCCGGGCUUAACCUGGGAACUGCAUUUGUGACUGGCGGGCUAGAGUAUGGCAGAGGGGGGUAGAAUUCCACGUGUAGCAGUGAAAUGCGUAGAGAUGUGGAGGAAUACCGAUGGCGAAGGCAGCCCCCUGGGCCAAUACUGACGCUCAUGCACGAAAGCGUGGGGAGCAAACAGGAUAU
rnacentral:rRNA from 1 species